ACGUACACUCCUGCGGGAGGCAGCAGUGGGGAAUAUUGGACAAUGGGCGCAAGCCUGAUCCAGCCAUGCCGCGUGAGUGAUGAAGGCCCUAGGGUUGUAAAGCUCUUUCACCGGUGAAGAUAAUGACGGUAACCGGAGAAGAAGCCCCGGCUAACUUCGUGCCAGCAGCCGCGGUAAUACGAAGGGGGCUAGCGUUGUUCGGAUUUACUGGGCGUAAAGCGCACGUAGGCGGACUAUUAAGUCAGGGGUGAAAUCCCGGGGCUCAACCCCGGAACUGCCUUUGAUACUGGUAGUCUUGAGUUCGAGGGAGGUGAGUGGAAUUCCGAGUGUAGAGGUGAAAUUCGUAGAUAUUCGGAGGAACACCAGUGGCGAAGGCGGCUCACUGGCUCGAUACUGACGCUGAGGUGCGAAAGCGUGGGGGGCAAACAGGAUUAGAUACCCCUGUAGUCCCAUG
rnacentral:rRNA from 1 species